UGUACUAUCCCUUGCAGGUGAAUUCAUGGGGAUCUACAACACAGCAUUGUCUGAGUGUUGCUGGGCAGCAGACAGCCAGAGGGUUGUGCUGGACACAGCUCAGCGCAGUAGGCAGGAGCUGAUUGUGGUGGAUACGCUGUCAGGCAGUGUGUGUUCUCUCACCAAGGGGUCUCCUCUUGGAAGCUGGACGCUGCUCACUAUUGACAGGGAUCUGGUGGUGGCCAAAUUCUCUACUCCAAGCUGUCC